rnacentral:rRNA from 1 species
GACAGAGGGUGCAAACGUUGUUCGGAAUUACUGGGCGUAAAGCGCGUGUAGGCGGCAAGGCAAGUCGGAUGUGAAAGCCCGCGGCUCAACCGUGGAAGUGCACUCGAAACUGCCUAGCUAGAGUCUCGGAGAGGAAGGUGGAAUGCUUGGUGUAGAGGUGAAAUUCGUAGAUAUCCGGAGGAACACCGGUGGCGAAGGCGGCUUCCUGGACCGACACUGACGCUGAGGCGCGAAAGCUAGGGGAGCAAACGGG